ACUUUCCUUUCUCCCAUCUUGAUUUCCCCCAAACAUGCAUCUCAAAUCCCUAAUUGAAACGGCGCCUUCUUUCCAUCUCUCACCUUCUCCGGCGACUUCAUGCCUGGAGUGACUCCGACCUCUCUUCGUUCCCGGCGAGGACGCCGUUUCGAAUGGGUCGCCGAAUCUCAUGUUUCACAAUGACGGCGCACUUGGUGUCUCCGUCUGCCCUUUCACGAUGGCUUCGGUGUUGCCGUCGGAGCCUCGCUGGUGUGCUCUUCGCGAGGGAGUCACUCCGACGCCGAUGACCCGCUUCAGCUCCCUCCGUCCGUGUUCGCAAAUGCCGUUGCUGUUCCAUUCGUCUAUCUCUCUCUCUCGACGAAGGCGUCGGUCUGAAAUCGCCCGUCGACGUCCGCUGUUGCUCUGCAGUGUUCGUGGGGCUGCCCUCGAUGCCCCGUCGUCGUUCGGUCAGAGCCGAUCAACGCUUCUCCAAGCUAAGUUCUAUCAUUUUCUUUAUUUCGUUGAUUUGUGUCUGAAAACUUAAUCGUUCAUCUACUGAAAAGGGCUUGAUAGUUGGCCAAAAAUGUUGUUCUUUUAAUUACAGAGGCUUGCUGUUGUUGUGGGGCUUUUAUCAUCAUGCCUCUAAGUUCCGACCUAGUUAGGCUGCCUAAAGCUUACUAGUGCUCUAUCGGUGUUAUGCUCAUGCUUAGCUAUGAGGUGAUGGUGUUAUGAGCAUGCUAGUUUCACCUAUGAAUUUGUGAACUAUAUGCUGUAAAACUGAGCUAUUGGAGGAUUACCUGUGUGAGUUGUUAUGGCUGCUGUCUCUAGCUCGGCUCCUCCCUUCUCCUUAGCUUGUAGUGUGCUAUUGAUUGUGGUAAUGAAGGAGGAAGGACUGAGGGGCUAUUUAUAAUGGUUUGCCUAACUGAAAGCCUGAGGAAGGCUGGUGUACUUGGCUGAAAAGGGAAAUCUCAGGCUGAGCAGCUGGCUACUCUGUCUGCAGCUCUGCAGAGUACGAACUGGGCAAGGUUGUUUGGCUGGGUGGAGUGCACCUGCCGUUGCGCAGUGAACUGGCUGGACAACCUGCUGGAAGGGCAGGCCAUUUCUGGUGGUGGCAGCCUUCAUCCUUGCCUAUUUUGAGAAAAAGGGCUGCUAAGCAUGGCUCUCGCCCUGGGUGUACCAAUUCGUCGGGCCGUUUGAGCUGGGCCGAGACCAGGCCUGAGAUACAUCCUGUGACUCGUAAUUGUAAAAGCCUAGUUCAACUUAAAUUUUAGUUCUUCAUGUAGACGAGUCUCUGUAAUCGUUAAUGUGUAUUCGGUUUCCUUUGUUUUCACUGUCAACAUUUGUAAUACACGAUUUAAAUUGGAAGUUCUAAAUAUCAUGUUUUGUUUACUCAAGAAUAUAAAUAAAUACUCUUUCGUUCUUUAUUUAAA